rnacentral:lncRNA from 1 species
AAGGUACUUCAAAUGGUCCACAUAUAUCCUAAUGCACCACUCAUAAAGCAUCUUUUGCUCUUGGAGCCACUUCUAAUGCAAACAGAAAUCUAGGUUGCUUUCCUUUCAUGCAUAUCUCACAUGAUUUCCCAGGCUUCGCAAUCUUAGGAAUUCCUUGUCCCAGCUUCUUAGAACUCAGAUUCCUUAAGCUUCUGAAAUUCAGAUGCCCCAAUCUCUUGUUCCUAAAUUCAUUGUCAC